rnacentral:misc_RNA from 1 species
GGUUAUUAGCUCUCAGUUCGCUUCAAUACCAUUUGAGUGUUCCUCCUGUAUUUCCGUCUGAUUCAUGUCCACGUCUGGACCGCCGGAAGUUGCUACAUCGAUCAUAGAGCCUGAUGCGCUCGCUACUCCCUCCCCUACUUCACUAGAUUGCACAACGGUCUGCUCAUCGACUGAUAGCUGUUUCUGAACAGAUGGUUUCGGAUGUCGAAUGGCAGCUGCAGCUUCGGGCAUGACAACUGAGGGAGGUUGAGGCGGGACCCACCCCCGCUGGAUGGGCCGCUCAGUUUGAUAAGACAACUGUCUUCGUUCCUCACCUUCUGGUUCAAUUUCUGUGAUUUUUACUGUCUUCGUCCACCCGGGAUCUGUCAUGUCAUGAGCCCUGUCAUAAAUCUGAGAAGACCCGUUGUACGGUAAUUCGGAGCUGAAUCCUUCACCGCUUGAUUGGGACUGGAGAUUGUAACUUGACCUUUGCGGAGGGACCUCCCACGGCUUUGGUCUAGGUGCUAAAAGUGAUUUCGAUGGAGGCUGAUUUGGAUUUGGAG